rnacentral:rRNA from 1 species
UACGUAGGGGGCAAGCGUUGUCCGGAAUUAUUGGGCGUAAAGAGCGUGUAGGCGGUCCGGUAAGUCAGCUGUGAAAGUCAAGGGCUCAACCCUUGAAAGCCGGUUGAUACUGUCGGGCUAGAGUCCGGAAGAGGCGAGUGGAAUUCCUGGUGUAGCGGUGGAAUGCGCAGAUAUCAGGAGGAACACCAAUAGCGAAGGCAGCUCGCUGGGACGGUACUGACGCUAAGGCGCGAAAGCGUGGGGAGCGAACAGG